rnacentral:rRNA from 1 species
GACGAACGCUGGCGGCGUGCUUAACACAAGCAAGUCGAACGGUGAAGCUCCAGCUUGCUGGAGUGGAUCAGUGGCGAACGGGUGAGUAACACGUGAGCAACCUGCCCCUGACUCUGGAAUAAGCGCUGGAAACGGCGUCUAAUACUGGAUACGAGAAGGGUCCGCAUGGGCACUUUCUGGAAAGUUUUUCGGUUGGGGAUGGGCUCGCGGCCUAUCAGCUUGUUGGUGAGGUAAUGGCUCACCAAGGCGACGACGGGUAGCCGGCCUGAGAGGGCGACCGGCCACACUGGGACUGAGACACGGCCCAGACUCCUACGGGAGGCAGCAGUGGGGAAUAUUGCACAAUGGGCGAAAGCCUGAUGCAGCGACGCCGCGUGAGGGAUGACGGCCUUCGGGUUGUAAACCUCUUUCAGCAGGGAAGAAGCGAAAGUGACGGUACCUGCAGAAGAAGCACCGGCUAACUACGUG